CCUACGGGUGGCAGCAGUGGGGAAUAUUGCACAAUGGGCGCAAGCCUGAUGCAGCCAUGCCGCGUGUGUGAAGAAGGCCUUCGGGUUGUAAAGCACUUUCAGCGGGGAGGAAGGCGGUGAGGUUAAUAACCUCAUCGAUUGACGUUGCCCGCAGAAGAAGCACCGGCUAACUCCGUGCCAGCAGCCGCGGUAAUACGGAGGGUGCAAGCGUUAAUCGGAAUUACUGGGCGUAAAGCGCACGCAGGCGGUCUGUCAAGUCGGAUGUGAAAUCCCCGGGCUCAACCUGGGAACUGCAUUCGAAACUGGCAGGCUAGAGUCUUGUAGAGGGGGGUAGAAUUCCAGGUGUAGCGGUGAAAUGCGUAGAGAUCUGGAGGAAUACCGGUGGCGAAGGCGGCCCCCUGGACAAAGACUGACGCUCAGGUGCGAAAGCGUGGGGAGCAAACAGGAUUAGAUACCCGUGUAGUC
rnacentral:rRNA from 1 species